rnacentral:tRNA from 1 species
GCCACGGUGGUCUAGCGGUUAGAACGCUGGCCUUGUAAUCCUGGGGUCUCGGGUUCUAUCCCGGCGGUGCCC